GUAACGAAGAGUAGAUGGAUGGACAGAGGUGCUCCCACUCCACUACAUAGCGCUGCGUCAGAUGGCCCCUCCUCCAGAUGAAAACCAGCGUGUCCACUGGUGAGACGAACUGUUCCGUGAGCCGGGGCCAGGAAAAGGCAGCAAACAAAAUGAACAGUCAGCCGAGUAGCGUUUGCUGGAGAUUUACGUGGAAACCUGCUCACAGAUGCAGGGCUGCUGGAUUUAUAACAAGGGUAAAAGAGGAAAAUGCCUUUGUGUUUACACAUGAGCCAGAGGGAAAGGGGAGCAGUGCAUCUUAAGGAGUAUUCCACAGAUGAACAAAUAUACAGAAAACACAUGAGUCUUUUGCAUGGGGAAGGGAGCCUGCUCUCCAACUGCCGAUAACCGAAGUUCAUUAGUCAAGGUGGGGUGCUAACCCCUCUUACCGAUGGUGUGAACUUGGAUCAGCCAUGUCACCUCUCUGAGCCUCAGUUUCCCCAUUUGUUAAGGUGGGAUAACAAUAUUUUUCCUGUGAAGUUAUUUGGAGUACAUGAAAGGAAAUCAUGAGUGCAAAAGAGCUGUGGGCACUCAAUACAUGGCUCUCUCUCUCGAAAUCUAUUUUAUGUAAAAAAAAGUUAUAUUAAUUAUAUUGUUAUAUUAAUUAAUGUAUAUUAAUUAAUUACAGUAUUUAUUCAACUUUUAAUUUUUUGAAUUUUAAAAAUAUUUUAUUUUAAACACCAAUAAGUGCCCCAAUAAGAAGGAUCCAGAGAUACUUCACAAAGAUUCUCUAACACCGACUGAAAAUGGAAAUAUUUCCCACUCUUGUUACAUUCAAGUGCCAUGGAUUGACACAGCUUUGCAGGUUUCAGCCUCCUUCCACUUGCUCCUGCUGAUCCUCCAUCUGGAAGGCUGCCCUUCUCACACCCCACACCAUCAACUUGUGUCUCUAGUUUCUGUGUUUACCUUUCCCUAGAAUCAUGUUCACAUACCAUUCAAGGCCUCACUCACCGAGAUGCUCUGUUCUGCCCACAGGCUCCCUGUUGGGCUAUGCCCUCCAUGCAGGUAGCACCUGAGAUGUAAGACCAGCAAACAUGCUUUAGUUCCAGACAUGCUCUCUCAUUGAAUCGUCACAUCCACCCUCCAGGGCACUGUUACCAACACUUUAUGGAUGAAGAAAUUGAAGCAUCAGAGAUGUCAGCGUUUUUACCAAAGGUCUCAAAGGUCCAAGUAGCAGAGCCAGAAUCCGACCCUGGUCUGACUCAGGGGUCUUCGUUUUUCUCUGCGCUAGUUGUGUUGGUGUUACUAGCUCUGGGUAGACCCC
rnacentral:lncRNA from 1 species